rnacentral:rRNA from 1 species
AUGCGAGCAGAAGCUGGCCUGGUGGAGUUGCAACCACGGCGACGGGAAGCUACAACCCCUAGUUGGCAGAGCUGCAACCGAUGGUGGGUUGAGUUGCAUUCGACGACGCCGCAUCGACGGGGCAAGCUACGACUGCUAUGGGAGCUGCAGCCACCAGUGGCGGAGCUGCAACCAUCGUGUGGCCAAGCUGCAUCCAGCGGGGCGAAGCUACGCCCCGCGGGUUCGCCGGUGCCGGAACCGUUUAGCUGUCGGUUGCCUCUGAGGUGUUUUUGCUGGAACCGGCAUGUUAUUUUGCUGGAACUAGCUUGUUUUUUUGCUACAAUCAACCUUGGAGCUCUUCCUUGCUAA